rnacentral:rRNA from 1 species
AUGUUGAUGCAAGACUACUUCGCAGAGAACCCUACAUAUCCACCGCACCUCUUCUGGAGAAGGUACCGAAUGCGCCCAUCCCUCUUUAUGAAAAUUGUUCAAGCUUGCAAGGCAAAUUGCCGGUAUUUUACUCAAAGAAGAAAUGUUGCGGGCUUAAAGGGAUUUAGUGCAUAUCAAAAAAUCUCCGCAGCUAUGCGGGUGAUUGCAUAUGGCAUUCCAACUGACUAUGCCGAUGAGUACCUUCGCAUUGGUGAAGAUACUACAAUUGAGUCUGUGCGUAGAUUUGCAAAAGUGAUCAUCCGUGUCUUUGGUCCUGAGUAUCUUUGGGCACCCAACGAAGAUGACAGAAAGAAAUUGAUGGCAUCUAGUGAGAGGAGAGGUUGGCCUGGCAUGCUAGGUAGCAUUGAUUGUAUGCAUUGGACUUGGAAAAUUGCCCCAAGGCAUGGCAAGGAAUGUAUUGUGGAAAGUCUCGUGAUGCAACAAUUGUGCUAG